rnacentral:tRNA from 1 species
AGGGUAUAGCUCAGUGGUAGAAUACAUGCUUAGCAUGCACGAGGUCCUGGGUUCAAUCCCCAGUACCUCUA